rnacentral:snRNA from 1 species
AAACGUUACCUUUUAUAUCGCGGGCCUUGAGAUGAAGACCCAGCGUUUACAUUUUUUGGAGUCUCACGGGAGUGAGAU